rfam:Peniophora sp. CONT PENSPscaffold_124_Cont197, whole genome shotgun sequence.
GGGCAAGUGACGCAGUGGUAGCGUGUUCGCUUUGCAUGCGAGAAGUCCAGGGUUCAAUCCCCUGCUUGUCCA